UACGUAGGGUGCAAGCGUUGUCCGGAAUUAUUGGGCGUAAAGAGCUCGUAGGCGGUUUGUCGCGUCUGCUGUGAAAACCCGGGGCUUAACCCCGGGCCUGCAGUGGGUACGGGCAGACUAGAGUGCGGUAGGGGAGACUGGAAUUCCUAGUGUAGCGGUGAAAUGCGCAGAUAUCAGGAGGAACACCGGUGGCGAAGGCGGGUCUCUGGGCCGUAACUGACGCUGAGGAGCGAAAGCGUGGGGAGCGAACAGG
rnacentral:rRNA from 1 species